rnacentral:rRNA from 1 species
AUAUUGGGCAAUGGCCGAGAGGCUGACCCAGCCAUGCCGCGUGCAGGAAGAAGGCCUUCUGGGUUGUAAACUGCUUUUAUACGGGAAGAAAACGCCCCUGCGGGGGUAACUGACGGUACCGUGUGAAUAAGCACCGGCUAACUUCGUGCCAGCAGCCGCGGUAAUACGAGGGGUGCAAACGUUAUUCGGAAUUACUGGGUGUAAAGGGUACGUAGACGGCAUCUUAAGUCAAUUGUUAAAUUCCCCAGCUUAACUGGGGGCAGGCGAUUGAAACUAAGAAGCUAGAGAAUGGAAGAGAGAAGUGGAAUUCUCGGAGUAGCGGUAAAAUGCGUAGAUCUCGAGAGGAACACCGAUGGCGAAGGCAGCUUCUUGGUCCAUUUCUGACGUUGAGGUACGAAAGCGUGGGGAGCAAACAGG